rnacentral:rRNA from 1 species
GACGAACGCUGGCGGCGUGCUUAACACAUGCAAGUCGAACGGAAAGGCCCUGCUUUUGUGGGGUGCUCGAGUGGCGAACGGGUGAGUAACACGUGAGUAACCUGCCCUUGACUUUGGGAUAACUUCAGGAAACUGGGGCUAAUACCGGAUAGGAGCUCCUGCUGCAUGGUGGGGGUUGGAAAGUUUCGGCGGUUGGGGAUGGACUCGCGGCUUAUCAGCUUGUUGGUGGGGUAGUGGCUUACCAAGGCUUUGACGGGUAGCCGGCCUGGGAGGGUGGCCGGCCAACGUGGGGCAUGGUAGCCGCCCCGGCCCCUGCGGGGGGGCAGAGGGGGGAAAUUUGGCAGAAGGGGGGGAGGCUGGAGGAAGCACCGCCGGGGGGGGAGGGGGGCCUUUCGGUUUUAAACCCCUUUCCGCCGGUGAAGAAGGGGGAGGCAGGGUAAUGGGUAAAGAGGCCCCGGCUAACUAAGUC